UAGCAUUUGAACAAAGUGGCGUAGAGCCACAGUGUUGUGCACGUUGUGGUUAAAGUCAUGUGAUAAGUGCGUAGAGUUUUGAAAAAUGUGUUCAAGCAACAAAAACGAACAUUUUGGUGCACAUGAACUGCUUCUGUGCAGACUGUGUUUAGACUUUUGCACAUCUAGCUCCAGUUGUGCCCACUGUUGUUUAGCAAUAAAAACUUUAACAAGUAACAACAAAAUACACGUUGAGUUGGUAUACUAAACCAGCUUCAAACUUUAGCAGUUCUUUUGCAGAAAAAUUACAAUGUUUGACUUCUCUAGUAAGAUAGGACACCUCUCCUGACUUAUGGCAUGUCCUGCACAGGAGAAAACUUUCUCAGAUGGUGUCGAAGAGGCCUGUACACACAGAUAUGAGUAUGAAAGGACAGACUAUUUGGGGAUGCUGUCCCGCUUCCCCCACCACCAGGCUACAGGGUCUUGUCAAUAGACUAGCAGAGCAAGUGUAAUAUUUUACUAGCAAUCACGUGCAAUUAAUGGUUAAUAUGGUUUUAUGUCUGUUUUGGUGAGCCUAGAGGGAAAAUAUGGCAUUUUAAAAGUAGCGUACAUUUACGGUAGCUAGCUAAUGGUACACCACAGUGAAAGUGUGAUAUUUUUACGUCUGUUUUGGAGCCCCGAGGGGAAAUUUGGCAGA